AUUGAACGCUGGCGGUAUGCUUAACACAUGCAAGUCGAACGGAAACGAUACUAGCUUGCUAGUAGGCGUCGAGUGGCGGACGGGUGAGUAACGCGUAGGAAUCUGCCUGAUAGUGGGGGAUAGCCCGGAGAAAUUCGGAUUAAUACCGCAUAAUCUAUUCGUAGUAAAGUGGGGGACUUUCGAGCCUCACGCUAUCAGAUGAGCCUGCGUAAGAUUAGCUUGUUGGUAGGGUAAAAGCCUACCAAGGCGACGAUCUUUAGCUGGUCUGAGAGGAUGAUCAGCCACAUCGGGACUGAGACACGGCCCGAACUCCUACGGGAGGCAGCAGUGGGGAAUAUUGGACAAUGGGGGCAACCCUGAUCCAGCAAUACCGCGUGUGUGAAGAAGGCCUGAGGGUUGU
rnacentral:rRNA from 1 species